rnacentral:rRNA from 1 species
CGUCUAGGCGGGAAUUUAAGUUAGGUGUGAAAGCUAUGGGCUCAACCGAUAAACUGCAUCUAAAACUGGAUUUCUUGAGUUAGGGAGAGGAGAGCGGAAUUCCAGGUGUAGCGGUGAAAUGCGUAGAUAUCUGGAAGAACACCAGUGGCGAAGGCGGCUCUCUGGCCUAUAACUGACGCUAAAGCGCGAAAGCGUGGGGAGCGAACAGGAUUAGAUACCCUGGUAGUCC